rnacentral:misc_RNA from 1 species
AGGAAGAGUAGGAACUGGUAAGGCAGUGGGAAUAAAAACCUUGGAUGCGAUGUUAGAGGAAAAAAUAGGGAGAUAUUUCAAAGAAGGUUACAUCAGCUAACACAAAGUAUUUAUUUAUAAAUGGAUUGUAGCAUUUGUAACCUUCUUGAAAGCUAGAAUAUCCCAAAAAGACAAAUUUUAUUGAUUUGAGCUAAAGUUUAUCUUUGCCAAGAGUGUGAUCGUGAACAAAAUAAAUAUAACCAAAUACACGCAGGGACAACUAAUGAGCAUCUUGGUCGGGAAACAA